rnacentral:rRNA from 1 species
UACGGAGGAUGCAAGCGUUAUCCGGAAUUAUUGGGCGUAAAGCGUCCGCAGGUGGUUAUCCAAGUCUGCUGUUAAAGCGCGAGGCUUAACUUCGUACAGGCAGUGGAAACUGGGUGACUGGAGUAUGGUAGGGGUAGCGGGAAUUCCCAGUGUAGCGGUGAAAUGCGUAGAUAUUGGGAGGAACACCAGUGGCGAAGGCGGCUCACUGGACCGGAACUGACGCUGAGGCGCGAAAGCGUGGGGAGCAAACAGG